rnacentral:rRNA from 1 species
UACGUAGGGUGCAAGCGUUUGUCCGGAAUUAUUGGGCGUAAAGAGCUCGUAGGCGGUCUGUCGCGUCGGCUGUGAAAUCCCGGAGCUCAACUCCGGGUCUGCAGUCGAUACGGGCAAACUGGAGUACUGCAGGGGAGACUGGAAUUCCUGGUGUAGCGGUGAAAUGCGUAGAGAUCGGGAGGAACAUCAGUGGCGAAGGCGGCCAUCUGGGACAACACUGACACUGAGGCGCGACAGCGUGGGGAGCAAACAGG